UGACCUCAAAUCAGGUAGGAACACCCGCUGAACUUAAGCAUAUCAAUAAGCGGAGGAAAAGAAAAUAACAAUGAUUCCCCUAGUAACUGCGAGUGAAGAGGGACAAGCUCAAAUUUUAAAUCUAUCGGGUUUUACCUGAUCGAGUUGUAAUUUGAAGAUGGCGUUUUCUGUGUUUCUGAUCAGUCCAAGUCCUUUGGGAUAAGGCAUCAUGGAGGGUGAGAAUCCCGUUCGGUUGAUCAGAUUCGCUUUACGAUACGUUAUCAAAGAGUCAAGUUGUUUGGGAUUGCAGCUUAAAAUGGGAGG
rnacentral:ncRNA from 1 species